rnacentral:lncRNA from 1 species
CGGCGGGGGCGCGUCGCGGAGGAGCCGGGCCGCCGCCUGCGCCGGAAGAGCCGCUCCGACUCUGGCCCCGCACCGCCGAGCCCGCGCGCGGGAGGGCGAGGGGCGACCGCGCUCGGGGAGGGGGACCCGGGAGCUGGUGGUGGCUUCGGGGAUUUUGGUUUUGAUUCAACUCCUCAAGAGACAGGCGACACACUUAAGGAACAAGAAGUGGCGAGAGCCACAGGGCGCUGGGAAUACUGGGGCAGGCCCCGUGCUGGGUCCUUGUGGAAACCUGAGGUCUUAGCCUUCAGCCGUCGAGUCCUUUGCAAAAGACUCCAGGCGGGAAAAAGUUAAAAAAAAAAAAAAAAAAAAAAAA